GACGAACGCUGGCGGCGUGCCUAACACAUGCAAGUCGAACGAAACUUCCUUGUCACCGAGUGCUUGCACUCACCGAUAAAGGGUAGAAUCGCGAACGUGUGAGUAACACGUCGGCAAGCUGCCCUAAAGAGGGGGAUAACACUAGGAAACAGGUGCUAAUGCCGCAUAACGGUGGUUACAGCGUGUUAACGGUGUAAAAGGUAGCUAUGCUCCAGCUGUUGGAUGGGCCGGGGGUGCUUUAGCUAGUUGGUAGGGUAUAGGCUUACCAAGGCAGUGAUGGGAAACCGAAUUGAUAGGUAGAUAGCCCACCUGGGGAGUGAGCCAGGGCCCAAACGCCUGCGGGAGGACGCAGUCGGGAAUCUUACGCAAUGGGGGAAAGCCUUAUAGAGCAACGCGGCGUGUGUGAAGAAGGUGCUCGGAGCGGAAAGCCCUGUUGUUAGUGGUGAAAGUGCGUGAGAUUAACCGUUCAGGUAUUGACGGUAUCUGGUCAAAAAGCCCCGGCUAACUACGUG
rnacentral:rRNA from 1 species